AUUGAACGCUGGCGGCAGGCCUAACACAUGCAAGUCGAGCGAGCGGCGGACGGGUGAGUAAUGUCUGGGAAACUGCCUGAUGGAGGGGGAUAACUACUGGAAACGGUAGCUAAUACCGCAUACCAUCAGAUGUGCCCAGAUGGGAUUAGCUAGUAGGUGGGGUAACGGCUCACCUAGGCGACGAGCCCUAGCUGGUCUGAGCGGAUGACCAGCAGCACGGAAACUGAGACACGGUCCCGACGCCCACGGGAGGCAGCAGGGGGGAAUGGUGCACGAUGGGAGCAAGCCUGAUGCAGCCAUGCAGCGUGUGGGAAGGAGGCCUCCGGGUUGUAAAGCACUAUCAGCGGGGAGGCGUUACCCGCAGAAGAAGCGCCGGCUAACUCCGUGCCAGCAGCCGCGGUAAUAC
rnacentral:rRNA from 1 species